rnacentral:rRNA from 1 species
CUACGGGUUGCUGCAGUGGGGAAUUUUGCGCAAUGGGGGAAACCCUGACGCAGCAAUACCGCGUGAGUGAAGAAGGCCUUUGGGUCGUAAAGCUCUUUUCUUGGGGAAGAUAGUGACGGUACCCAAGGAAUAAGCACCGGCUAACUCCGUGCCAGCAGCCGCGGUAAUACGGAGGGUGCAAGCGUUGUUCGGAUUUACUGGGCGUAAAGGGCACGUAGGUGGCACAGCAAGUUAAGGGUGAAAUCCCGGGGCUCAACUCCGGAACUGCUCUUAAAACCGCUGAGCUAGAGAUAGUCAGAGGCGGGUGGAAUUCCAGGUGUGGAGGUGAAAUUCGUAGAUAUCUGGAGGAACACCGGUGGCGAAGGCGGCCCGCUGGGGCUAUUCUGACGCUAAGGUGCGAAAGCGUGGGGAGCAAACGGGAUUAGAUACCCGCGUAGUC